rnacentral:tRNA from 3 species
GCUGGUGUAGCUCAGUUGGCUAGAGCAGCUGAUUUGUAAUCAGCAGGUCGUAGGUUCGACUCCUAUCACCAGCUCCA